rnacentral:rRNA from 1 species
AAACCGACACAGGUGGAUAGGUAGAGAAUACCAAGGCGAUCGAGAUAAUCGUGGUGAAGGAACUCGGCAAAAUACCCCCGUAACUUCGGGAUAAGGGGGACCUGAUGUGUGAGCCGGCUUGCCCGGUGAAGCACUGAGGGUCGCAGAGACCAGGCCCAAGCGACUGUUUACUAAAAACACAGGUCCGUGCUAAGUCGAAAGACGAUGUAUACGGACUGACUCCUGCCCGGUGCUGGAAGGUUAAGGGGAAGUGUCAGCGCAAGCGAAGCACCGAACUUAAGCCCCAGUAAACGGCGGUGGUAACUAUAACCAUCCUAAGGUAGCGAAAUUCCUUGUCGGGUAAGUUCCGACCUGCACGAAUGGAGUAACGAUUUGGGCGCUGUCUCCACCACGAACUCGGCGAAAUUGCACUACGAGUAAAGAUGCUCGUUACGCGCAGCAGGACGGAAAGACCCCGGGACCUUUACUAUAGUUUGGUAUUGGUGAUCGGUACGACUUGUGUAGGAUAGGUGGGAGACUUUGAAGCGAGGACGCCAGUUCUUGUGGAGUCAACGUUGAAAUACCACUCUGGUCGUUCUGGUUAUCUAACCUAGGUCCGUUAUCCGGAUCAGGGACAGUGCCUGAUGGGUAGUUUGACUGGGGCGGUCGCCUCCCAAAAUGUAACGGAGGCGCCCAAAGGUUCCCUCAGCCUGGUUGGCAAUCAGGUGUUGAGUGUAAGUGCACAAGGGAGCUUGACUGUGAGAGGGACAUCUCGAGCAGGGACGAAAGUCGGGACUAGUGAUCUGACGGUGGCACGUGGAAGCGCCGUCACUCAACGGAUAAAAGGUACCCCGGGGAUAACAGGCUGAUCUUGCCCGAGCGUCCAUAGCGACGGCAUGGUUUGGCACCUCGAUGUCGGCUCGUCGCAUCCUGGGGCUGGAGUCGGUCCCAAGGGUUGGGCUGUUCGCCCAUUAAAGCGGCACGCGAGCUGGGUUUAGAACGUCGUGAGACAGUUCGGUCCCUAUCCGCUGCGCGCGUAGGAGUCUUGAGAAGAGCUGUCCUUAGUACGAGAGGACCGGGACGGACUAACCUCUGGUGUGCCAGUUGUUCUGCCAAGAGCACGGCUGGUUGGCUACGUUGGGAAGUGAUAACCGCUGAAAGCAUCUAAGCGGGAAGCAUGCUUCAAGAUGAGGGCUCCCACAGGGUAACCUGGUAAGGCCCCCGGCAGACCACC